GGUGACCUAUCUUUUUUAUUUCAUAUAUCAAUAAGGAAUGAUGUUCUGCAACUGUGGUGAAAGUUUAAAAAAAAUUCUGUAGUGUGUGAUUUUUUUAAAAGCGAAAAAUUUAUUGCAAAAUUUCCACACUACAGAUUUUUUUAAAAUUUGAAAUUUAUAAAAUUUACCGCAAAAUAAAUUCGUGGUCAAAAUUUGAAGAUAGGUCACCGAUGAAACUAACGAGUAAAAUGCAAAUAAAGUUAGAAAAUAGCCUCGUGUAACUCGAGAAAUUCUCCUAUUGAAAAGCGUCGCUGACUAGUAAAAGAUUGUACGCGGGCGCAGAACGAGUUUUCAUUCAGCAAAAUCGAGCCGCAAUGUUGUUUUUACUGUUUUGUUUUUGUCA